UGGGGAAUCUUGGACAAUGGGGGCAACCCUGAUCCAGCCAUGCCGCGUGAGUGAUGAAGGCCUUAGGGUCGUAAAGCUCUUUCGCCUGUGAUGAUAAUGACAGUAGCAGGUAAAGAAACCCCGGCUAACUCCGUGCCAGCAGCCGCGGUAAUACGGAGGGGGUUAGCGUUGUUCGGAAUUACUGGGCGUAAAGCGCGCGUAGGCGGAUUAGUCAGUUAGAGGUGAAAUCCCAGGGCUCAACCCUGGAACUGCCUUUAAUACUGCUAGUCUUGAGUUCGAGAGAGGUGAGUGGAAUUCCGAGUGUAGAGGUGAAAUUCGUAGAUAUUCGGAGGAACACCAGUGGCGAAGGCGGCUCACUGGCUCGAUACUGACGCUGAGGUGCGAAAGUGUGGGGAGCAAACAGGAUUAGAUACCCUGGUAGUCCACACCGUAAACGAUGAAUGCCAGUCGUCGGCAAGCAUGCUUGUCGGUGACACACCUAACGGAUUAAGCAUUCCGCCUGGGGAGUACGGUCGCAAGAUUA
rnacentral:rRNA from 1 species